AUACGUAGGGGGCGAGCGUUGUCCGGAAUGACUGGGCGUAAAGGGCGUGUAGGCGGCCGAUUAAGUCUGGAGUGAAAGUCCUGCUUUCAAGGUGGGAAUUGCUUUGGAGACUGGUUGGCUUGAGUGCGGACGAGGUAAGUGGAAUUCCCAGCGUAGCGGUGAAAUGCGUAGAGAUUGGGAGGAACACCAGUGGCGAAGGCGACUUACUGGGCCGUAACUGACGCUGAGGCGCGAAAGCGUGGGGAGCGAACAGGAUUAGAUACCCUGGUAGUCCACGCGGUAAACGAUGAAUGCUAGGUGUAGGGGGUAUCGACCCCUCCUGUGCCGGAGUGAACGCAAUAAGCAUUCCGCCUGGGGAGUACGGCCGCAAGGUUGAAACUUAAAGGAAUUGACGGGG
rnacentral:rRNA from 1 species